UCUUCUUUCUUUCUCUCUCCUCGAUCUCUCCUCCUCUCAACAAUGGAAACCCUAAAUUCCUUCUCUCUCCUUCGAUCUCCUUCUCUUUCCUCAAACUAAAAACAACCCUAAAGCUCCUUUGCCUUGCAAUUAGCCGUUGUCACUCUUAUUCCCCACAGAGAGCCUCUCAUCUUCUUCUAGCCCACCAUAGAAGCGUGCACUCUACAUUCACCAUUGACGUUUCCUCGCGUCCUCCUCCUUAGCCAGCUCGAUUCUUCUACAAUCGAUUAUUGAACACUAUUGGUUAUAAUUGAAGCUGAUGAUGGUAGGCUGGAAGCGUUGCUGUAAUGGUGGCAGGAGAGGAAAUGGUGUUUGUGGUUGUAUAAGCUGUGCUGGAGGAACCACGCAUGGGCUUUAACAUUGAAGGGAAUCAAAUUUUGGACUUAUGAUGACAUUAUCUCAUAACAAGAAAGCGCCUAAGUGCCUGUUGGUUGAAAUUGAAGAAGUUCGUGUUGUCAAGAGUGCUGGUCGGAGAAAGCAAGGUGUUUUAAAUGCUCCAAGGCCCAGCAAAACAACAGCAAUAACCAGCACCAGGCAGGCACAGCACCUGACAACAACUAACAGCCAGCAGAUAGCCAACAGGCUUUGCAAAACCAGGUCAGCAACCAAAUAGCAGCAUCACAUCAGCUGAAAGAGCAGGCAACAGAACAGCAGCUACAGAGCCAUCAGCUAACAGAGUAGACAACAAAACAACAGCAGCAAAAGUCAUAACAACAGCAAGCAGAAGCAGAACAACAAUAGCAGUGCAGAAGCAGGACAGUAUUAGCAGUGCAGACAGAAGACACACAGCAGCCAGAACACCUUGCAACACACUGCAUGCAACAAAACAGGAAGACAGAAGCAGAGACAAGCUAGUAGCAUGCAGCACAGACACCAGCAGCCUGAACCAGCACACACCAGCCAGAGCCAAAGCAGCCAGAAAUAGAAAGCAAUAGCCAGCAACAGCUAAACACACCCUGCAAACAGAAACCAGCAACCAGACACAAAGCAAGCAAUACAGCCAAUAGAAAAUAGCAGCUUAAACAGCAACAAAACACCAACAACCUAAACCAGAAGCUGCAUAGCCACCUGGCUUAAAUCAAAAGGUAUUUCCUUGUGCCCACUGAGCACCUACAAGCAACUCUAAACUUAUGACUGGAUUACUGCUGGAAUUUUCAAGUGUUGGUUUAGAUUGCAACACUGGUAUGCUUAGGGUGUAACUCUGGUUUUAAGUUGCAACACCUGCUGAUUUUAAGUUAGAAAAAGCCAAAACUAAAGAUGUUGAAGUGCUGGUUAAUUGUAAUAUUACAGCCUUUUUUAAUGAAAAUAUGUAACUUUAUAUAUAUGUUAGUGUUUCUAUAUCAAUU